rnacentral:lncRNA from 1 species
GGCUGGCCCCUUGUGUGCUUAUUCUACAAGCAACUUUCAGGAUUUGAUAGACUGUAGUCAUAUUCCCCUCACAUUUCUACUUUCCUGGCUGAGAUGAACAUCAUUUGUGUGUGGGGUUUCUUCAGCAAUGACGCCUAACAAAGCUCCCCCAGUUACUUGGAAGGAAUAAACACACCCCUGCACACCGAGGCACAGAAGCCUGGCCUUCCCAGCUCAGAGAGUCCUUGAUGGCAAUUUGACAUGAAACGGCUGUGAUCAAAGAGAGGAGGUGGAGGCGAGGCUUAGCGUCCCACAGAGCAGAGGCUGCUGGUCCCCGGGAUGGAGGGACCAGUAGUGAAGACAGCCACACCAGGCCUGAAUCGCCAGCUCAGGAGACAGAGGCCAGGGUCCCGUAGGAGAGGAAGCUCCCGGGUAAGCUCUUCACAGCUCCUACAAAACCGGGCUUAUGUUUGCAAAGUGUUGGGAGAAGUCGGAGGUCCCUGGGAAUGUCGUGUAUACCAAACAGGGACGCCUUGGAGGAGGACCCACAGGAUGGGAGAUCCCCGGGCAUCUCCCCAGAAAGCUGAGAAUUCAAAGAAGGACGGAGGCAGAUUUCUGAAUGUUUCGUUGCUCUGUGUCUUCUCAUCCACACUUUGUUCUGGGGUUGAGGAGGGUGUGGAGUUGGGAAUCCAACCCAAGGCUCCUGGCCUCUAUGCAGACCCCAGAGUCUGCCCAGGAAGCCAUAAAACCAGUGCCCACACCAGCAUGUGCCGCUCAGGAGAGGAGAAUUCAGGAGGAACGGAAGGCCUGCUCCCUACGGCUCCGCUCCAGGCCAUCUUCCCUCUUGAUGAGGAGGGACACCUCCUGCCUUGGAGAGAGGUGGGAACCAGCAUCUAGGAGACCCAGCUGGUGGGGCGACCAUUGAGGAUGGGGAAGUCAUGUUCAUUUGGCUCAGAGUGACAAGCCAGCCAUGGCAUAUGCUCUGCUGCUUGCAACGAUUCCAGAGGCCGGCAUGAUUCCUCCCUCCACCCCAGGUUUCACCACAGAAAUGCCUGAUCUGCCCAAGGCCACCCUGCCAGGGACAGUGGUUACUGAUGUUGUCUGCUCUGCAUCCACUGUAGUACAGGGGGGAAGGAUGCCUGCCCAAUCCAUGGCACCCUCUCCUGUGUGCCAGCAUGCAGAGGCUUCCUCCAUGCACAGGCCAGGGAUGACUGGCCAAACACUGUCACCAGGGGAGGCUAUGGGAACUCCCAGAGGGGCUAGCCUUGGCCUCUGUGUGGUCAGACCAGAAGGGCUAGCCUUGACUUCUGUGUGAUCAGAUCAGAAAGUCUAGCCUUGUCCUCUGUGUGAUCAGACCAGAAGGGCCAGCCUUGGCCUCUGUGUGGUCAGAUAGAAGGGCUAGCCUUGGCCUCUGUGUGAUCAGACUGGAAGGGCUAGCCUUGACUUCUGUGUGAUCAGAUCAGAAGGGCUAGCCUUGGC